UAGGUGCGAUGAAGAAAAAGUGGAUGAAGGAUGAAUAAAAGUGGCAAGUACCUAAUAAUUUAAGGCAGUGACAUGUGAAGAAGCAGAGAAAGGAAAGAACUGAACUUGAAGGUCAAAGAAAUGAGAAUAAUUAACGUUAAGACAGUUAAGUGUUGAAAAGCUUUCCACUUGGUGAACAUGUGCCCUAACUGUUCCUAAGUUGUACCUGUCAUGUCUGACAGAGUCUCCAGUUCUCGGGCAGCAGAGGGCCCCAGAGCAAUGGUGUGGAUGACGGCACCACUGCGCUUGACGGCCUCAAAGCAUGAACUUAUUCCAUUAUCUUCCCCAUCUGUCAGCAAUACGAUCUCAGAACCGGAAGUGCUCUGGUCACUGGAGAUCAGAAUGCUAUUAAAUGAAUGAACUCUGAAUUCAGGACCCUAUUCAAAUCCAGGAAACAGGGCUGGAGAGGAGGUGGAAAGAGCCUUAGAGCUGGCGCUGUGCGUCGCCCUCUACUGGACAUCAUGUGGUCACUGCACUAGGAACUCAGCUCUGGAUACCUGCACAAGAUCAAGUCAGGCAACAUUUAUCCAGCACCAAGCAGACCACUCGCCUUCUGGACUUGAGCAAUGAAAAUGUAGGUGGAGGAGGGGCU
rnacentral:lncRNA from 1 species